CUCACUACUGCACUUGACUAGUCUUA
rnacentral:piRNA from 3 species